UACGUAGGGUGCGAGCGUUGUCCGGAAUUAUUGGGCGUAAAGCGUCCGUAGGCGGUUAGAUAAGUUUGGCGUUAAAGGCGCGGGCUCAACCCGUGUAGUGCGUUGAAAACUGUCUGACUAGAGUAUAGUAGGGGAAGCUGGAAUUCUUGGUGUAGCGGUGAAAUGCGUAGAUAUCAAGAGGAACACCCGUAGCGAAAGCGGGCUUCUGGGCUAUUACUGACGCUAAUGGACGAAAGCUAAGGUAGCGAAAGGG
rnacentral:rRNA from 1 species